UAGGGAAUAUUAGAAAUGGACGAAAGUCUGAUCUAGCAACACCGCGUGUGCGAAGAAGGCCUUCGGGUUGUAAAGCACUUUUUGGAAGGAUUAGGAAGGAAUGUACUUCCAGAAUAAGUCUCGGCUAACUACGUGCCAGCAGCCGCGGUAACACGUAGGAGGCAAACGUUAUCCGGAUUUACUGGGCGUAAAGCGCGUGUAGGUGGUUCUGUAAGUAGGGCGUGAAAGCUCCUGGCUCAACUGGGAGAGGCCGUUCUAAACUGCAGAGCUAGAGGAUGGUAGAGGGAGGUGGAAUUCCGGGUGUAGCGGUGGAAUGCGCAGAUAUCCGGAGGAACACCAGUGGCGAAAGCGGCCUCCUGGACCAUUCCUGACACUCAGACGCGAAAGCUAGGGUAGC
rnacentral:rRNA from 1 species